UUCUUUAAGCAAAUAAAUUAAAGUAUUGCCUGCCCAUUGAAAUUUUGAAAGGCCGCAGUAUAUUGACUGUGCUAAGGUAGCAUAGUCAUUUGGUUUUUAAUUGAGAUCUGGAAUGAAGGGUAAAACGUUUUAAUGUCUAUUAAAUUUUAUUUAGUUUUGAAUUUAAAUUUUUAGUAAGAAUUCUAAAAUUUUUUUGAGGGACGAUAAGACCCUAUAAAGCUUUAUCUACUAAUGAUUUUUUUUCUUUUCUAAUAAAAGUUUUUAUUAAAUUUUGUUGGGGCGACAACCAAAUUAAAUCUUGGUUUAAUAAAUUUUUUGAUCCAAAAAUUUUGAUAAUUUGAAAAAGUUACUUUAGGGAUAACAGUAUAAUUUAUUCAGGGAGUUCAAAUCGGAGAAUAAGCUUGUUACCUCGAUGUUGAAUUAAAGUUAUUAUUAGGUGUAGUCGUUUAAUAAAAUUAGUCUGUUCGACUAUUAAAUCUUUACG
rnacentral:rRNA from 1 species